rnacentral:rRNA from 1 species
UACGUAGGGUGCAAGCGUUAAUCGGAAUUACUGGGCGUAAAGCGUGCGCAGGCGGUUUUGUAAGUCUGACGUGAAAUCCCCGGGCUCAACCUGGGAAUUGCGUUGGAGACUGCAAGGCUAGAAUCUGGCAGAGGGGGGUAGAAUUCCACGUGUAGCAGUGAAAUGCGUAGAGAUGUGGAGGAACACCGAUGGCGAAGGCAGCCCCCUGGGUCAAGAUUGACGCUCAUGCACGAAAGCAUGGGUAGCGAACAGG